CCUACGGGAGGCAGCAGUGAGGAAUAUUGGUCAAUGGUCGGGAGACUGAACCAGCCAAGCCGCGUGAGGGAGGAAGGUACAGAGUAUCGUAAACCUCUUUUGUCAGGGAACAAAGGCGGGGACGUGUCCCCGGAUGAGUGUACCUGAAGAAAAAGCAUCGGCUAACUCCGUGCCAGCAGCCGCGGUAAUACGGGGGAUGCGAGCGUUAUCCGGAUUUAUUGGGUUUAAGGGGUGCGCAGGCGGUCUGUUAAGUCAGCGGUAAAAGCCCGGGGCGAAACCCCGGCCCGCCGUUGAAACUGGCAGUCUCGAGUUGGAGAGAGGUAUGCGGAAUGCGCGGUGUAGCGGUGAAAUGCAUAGAUAUCACGCAGAACUCCGAUUGCGAAGGCAGCAUGCCGGCUCCACACUGACGCUGAGGCACGAAAGCGUGGGUAUCGAACAGGAUUAGAUACCCGUGUAGUC
rnacentral:rRNA from 1 species